CAAAGCACGAGGACGGACGGAAAGCGAGGCGAAGAAAGACACAAAGCGAAAAAGAAAGGCUUCAGAGCAGACACUUAAGAUUUUCAUAGAAAUGUAGAAAUAAAGACGUCCUUGUGUAGAGUGUGUGUGUGUGUAUAGAGCCAGACAUUUUGUUCCCAUGGUAAUGUAAAAUGGUGCCAGGAGUUGUGUAUGUCUACUGCCUUCAAUACACUAGUGUACUACUGCAUGGAUCUUCAGUAUCUUCAGUUAUUCUAAUGGAAGGAAGAGUACAAGAUGUUCCUAGAAUUUACUGACACUCAUUCUGCCAAGAACCUGAAACACUGCACCACAGAUGUUUGUCCCUCAAAAUGUGCAGUUGAUACAUCUUACAACAAUAGCCAGUUGUGAUUCUACUUAACAGCACUGUAGACAUGGAGCAACAUACAUCAGAGAAAAAAAUGUGCACCACGGCAUUAAAUAACCUAAAGCUUGCCUUCCACUUUCUGGAGUUCAUUUUCCUAACAUCACCAUGGCAAUGAUCUUGUAGCUGUCAGAAUGGCAAACAGAACAUACCUCAGUGAAAACCAUGACAUUUUCAUUCUUCAAGAACUCCGAGGACACGAAAGAAAAUUCUACAAUGUCCACCAUGAUUUCUGUGUUGCAAGUGCUGUAUAGUGUAAAGCCAGCAUGUAUGUUUUUUUCACAAAUCGACGAGGUGUAUCAUGGCUGAAGCUGUGCAUCCGGACAGGCAUGAGAAUGGUUGUAUUCCAAUGGCUGUAAGCAUGAAAGCACCUGGCGUAGUGCUGAGGACAUCUUCUGUGAAUCAUCAAGCAGAUGUAUAGAUGUACCUCUAAUUAAGUACUCUGAGGACACAAAAGAAAAUUCUACAAUGUCCACCAUGAUUUCUGUGUUGCAAGUGCUGUAUAGUGCAAAGCCAGCAUGUAUGUUUUUUCACAGAGCGACAAGGUGUAUCAUGGCUGAAGCUGUGCAUCUGGACAGGCAUGAGAAUGGUUGUAUUCCAAUGGCUGUAAGCAUGAAAGCACCUGGCCUUGUGCUGAGGACAUCUUCUGUGAAUCGAUUAAGCAGAUGUAUACAAUGUACCUCUAAUUAAUUGGUCUGCUUCACAGGGAGUCAUUGAAGGUCAACUAGGUAGCAGGACACACUUCACAGAUGGAAACUGUUUACAUUAUCUGGCUGGAAUUUAAAGAGCUGAGACUACCAUCAGGCAAAUCUUCCAUGUAAUAACACUAACCCAGAGCAUUGCUACUGUUUCUUCCACACAAUAAUACUGGCCCAGAACAUUGCUACUGAGUCUUCCAUGCAGUAACACUGACCCCAAAGUGUUGCUUUUCUAUCCACAGGGCACUGGAAAAUUCAGACAGAUGACAGAAAGUAACCUGUCAGUAAGCAUAAUAAACUCUAUCUUUACUAUGUGAUACUGAAGGCUUGGAUUUGCUUAACAUUGGAAAGAAUGCUGAGAUUAACAUGCCACUCACUGUGUGUGACAUAAAUGCCAAAAUCAUUCAAAUGUGGCAGUGAAAGAUAGACAUUAGAUUUCAGUUAAAUAACAUUUACCUAAUGUUCAAAGGUGGUUGUGAAAACUCACUGAAUGUGACAAAGUUCAGAUGACAGUGAAAGAAAGACAGUUAUACUCAAAUAAAACUUAGAUGUGACCAUGUAAUUAUUGAUUAGAUAUUAAAAUCAUAUUUAAAAGUGACAGUAGGUACAGUAAAAUUGGGAUGAUACAUCUUUUGAUUGUUAAAUGUCAAAUAAUAAAGUGUAACUGAUUU